rnacentral:rRNA from 1 species
GACGUAGGGCGCGAGCGUUGUCCGGAUUUAUUGGGCGUAAAGAGCUCGUAGGCGGCUUGUUGCGUCGACUGUGAAAACCCGCGGCUUAACCGCGGGCUUGCAGUUGAUACGGGCAGGCUAGAGUUCGGUAGGGGAGACUGGAAUUCCUGGUGUAGCGGUGAAAUGCGCAGAUAUCAGGAGGAACACCGGUGGCGAAGGCGGGUCUCUGGGCCGAUACUGACACUGAGGAGCGAAAGCGUGGGGAGCGAACAGG